rnacentral:tRNA from 1 species
GGGGGCGUGGCGAAGUUGGUUAUCGCACCGGCCUGUCAAGCCGGGGAUCGCGGGUUCAAGUCCCGUCGCUCCCG